CUAAGCAUUUCAUGGCCACUAUGCCUCAAGGACUGGGUCAAAAGAUCAUGCCAUCCCAUGGUAAGAUCCAGGUCAGAAGCCUGUGUCUUUCAGCCUCAAGGUCUGGAUCACAGGUGAGCCCUCCAUUUCGGGAUUGUAGUUCAUUCCAGAUAGAGUCAAACUGACGACCAGGAAUAACCAUCCUAAGUGGACAGUGGGAAUUGUCUUCACCUUCAUCUGUAAGCCAACUGCUCCCCAAUAGUCAUCUUUCUAUGGCUCUGGUAAGCAUCUAAUAUACAGUCCACAAUCUUCCUUCUCUUAAGACAUCACAUGCUUUCCACAUUGUUCUUCUCAGCUGUCACUCAGCUUCUGGCCCCAUUCCAUGACCUACUUAACUAUCACCCUAAACAUCCCUUCCUCCAAGAAAAUUCUGUCUUAGGUCUGGGCUUCCUAUUCCCAGUAGCUUAUUGGAAUUGUCCCAUAAGUGUCUCCCAUCCUUCCAAACAGUGAUGUUCUGAUUGUAAGGACUAUGCUUCCUCUGUUUGCUGCUGUGGCAUGACCAUCUAGCACAGUGGUUCUCAACCUUCCAAAUGCUGCAACCCUCUAAUGCUGUCCCUCAUGUUGUGGUGACCCCCAACCAUAAGCUUAUUUCAUUGCUACUUCAUAACUGUGAUUUUGCUACUGGUAUGAAUCAUAAGGUAAAUAUCUGAUAUGCAAGAUAUAGGAUAUGUGACCCCCAAAUGGGUCUCAACAUACAAGUUGAGAACCUCUUUUCUAGCUUAGGGACUUUGAUAAAUGCAGAGAUGGAUGAAUGGACAACAUAAACAAAUGCUAAGGUUUGAUGACAGUCAAGUAAGAGACUUGCAGUCGUGUGGCUAAGCCUUUCUUUAUGAUGUGACAUGAUGUACAUGUGAGAAGGAAGGCGUGGCGUGACUUAGUGGGGAGGAAUGGAGUAGUUUCUCUCCAUCAUCUGUUUGUAACAAUUACCAACAUAUGAUCAAACUUGUUUUAGCUAUAACUCUUCCUUGCUGCGUUUGUUUUCCAGAGAAAUAGUUUGCAUGCCACAAAUCCUCCUUUAACAUUGUGCAAUCAGUCCAUGAGCCUGUAGGCCUAUCGUUACUCUAGCCCCCAGAUAUUUGUACUAUCCCCAGAAGACUCCUUUUAUGCUUUAGGCUUCAACUCCUUAUUCUGUACCCCUCUAGCCACUGGCAGUAACUAGUCUGUUUUUACUCUACAUGUGUUAGACUGUUCUGGACAUCUCACACAGAUAGAACACAUACAGUUUGCUCCCUCCAAUGAAUGACCAGCUUCUUCCAUUUAGUGCAUUACAGAUUGAAUGAGCAAUUGCCUACUUUUCAGAGCUGGGUGGCAAUUCAUAUACAGACCUACCACAUUCCGAGUACAUAUGUGUAUGUGUGAGUACAUGUAUAUUCCUGUGAGUGUGUGCAUUUGGGUGCAAGUGUGUGUGUGUGUGUGUGUGUGUGUGUGUGUGUGUGUACCAGAAGAGAACCUAAGCAAUUGUUCCUCAGGAAUCAUUUAUCUUGCUUUUUUAAAAGUCUUUUUUAUAUUCAUGAUGCACUUGAUGAUAUACAGGGGUGAGCAGUGCACCCAGGACUUGCCAUACAAAUGGAAAAGAAAGGAUGGCUUUAAGAAGGUUGCUCUUUCUGUCAACCUUUCCAUGUGUUCCAGAUACUGGACUGAGAGCAUCAGACCUGAAAAGCAGGCCCUUCACCUGCUGAGCCAUCUUUCUAGGCCCAGGACAGACUUGUGAGCUUCCUUCCUCGCCUCUUCAGCACGUGGUUUUCAUCCUGUACUGCCUCAAAAACUAGGAUGGCCACAAGUGUUUUACUUAGGGUUUUGCUGCUGUGAUCAGACACCACAAAUAAUAAACGUCUUAUAAAGGACAGCAAUUAACUGGGGCUGGCUUACAACUUCAGUCAUUAUCAACAAGUCGGGAACAUGGCGGCAUUAAGCCCACACCCACAGGCACACACCUACUCCAAUGAGGCCACACGUCCUAAUAGUGCCACUCCCUGGGCCAAGCAUAUACAAGCCAUCACAACAUACAAGGAGCUGACCAAGUAGUCUAGGCUGGGCAGCCAGCAAGCUCCAGGAAUCUUCCUGUCUCUACCUCCCAGCUGGUGUUACCAGGGCAGACUUUAUUGUUUUAAAUGUGAGUUCUGGUGGAAAUAGAGUUCUUAUGCUUGAGUAGUUAGUAUACAUAAUGCUCAACUCUCACCACUGCCAAAAAUACCAUAUUUUGCUGAUGCAUUCUUCAAUUGAUGACCAACUUUCUUAUGAAAAAUUUUUUGAAUAAUGAUGGAGCUUUGAAAAUAUCAAACACACGAGUUGAGAGAGAGAGAGAGAGAGAGAGCACACUGGUGGAGAAGCAGUGAUGUCAUAACACAGAAAGCGCUGGCUGAACUUAGAGGCUCCCUCUGCCUUGUCUUCAGAGCUAUACAUAUCAGCUCUGUUCAACUACUUGAAAUUUCAUGAACUCACCUUUGAGACAUGUUAUGUCCAUCCCUCUGCCUGAACUAUUUCCUUCUAGGCCUUACCACCACUCUAAGUCUAUUUUGGAAUCUCACAUAGUAGAUUUCGUACUCCAAGAACAUUUCUCUGACAUAUGACUCACCUGUGGUUCCCAAUUUCAGGUACUCUCACAACAUGUGCAGUAACACGGCUUUGAUCUACCUACACACCACACUACACCACCACUAGGCUGUGAUCUCAUGGGCAAAAGCUAUGGCAUUCCCCACAUGUGCCAUGUGGCUUGGGGCAAUGCCCAGUGUCUGGAAGGAGCUUGCUAAGUUGAAGUAAUAUUUGAACAAAGGGAUAGUGUACACUGUCAAAAACAUCAGUCCGGAUAGGCAUCACAGUACACACCUUUAAUCCAAGCACUUAGAGGCUGAAGCAGGAAGAUUAUCACAUCAACGCCAGAGAAUGAGCUUGUCUC
rnacentral:lncRNA from 1 species